GUGCCAGUAGUGCAGUGGCGCAGAACAUUCCCGCUCGAUCAGCAGGAGAUGCGGGUUCGAGUCCCGCCUGGCGCU
rnacentral:tRNA from 1 species